rnacentral:misc_RNA from 1 species
GAUGAAGAACGUAGCGAAAUGCGAUAACUAAUGUGAAUUGCAGAAUCCAGUGAAUCAUCGAAUCUUUGAACGCACAUUGCGCCCGCCAGCAUUCUGGCGGGCAUGCCUGUUCGAGCGUCAUUUCAACCCUCCACCUCCCCUUGGGGAGGUCGGCGUUGGGGACCGGCAGCACACCGCCGGCCCUGAAAUGGAGUGGCGGCCCGUCUGCGGCGACCUCUGCGUAGUAAUACAGCUCGCACCGGAACCCCGACGCGGCCACGCCGUAAAACACCCAACUUCUGAACGUUGACCUCGAAUCAGGUAGGACUACCCGCUGAACUUAAGCAUAUCAAUAAGCGGAGGA